CAUGCAAGUCGAGCGGACAGAAGGGAGCUUGCUCCCGGAUGUUAGCGGCGGACGGGUGAGUAACACGUGGGUAACCUGCCUGUAAGACUGGGAUAACUCCGGGAAACCGGAGCUAAUACCGGAUAGUUCCUUGAACCGCAUGGUUCAAGGAUGAAAGACGGUUUCGGCUGUCACUUACAGAUGGACCCGCGGCGCAUUAGCUAGUUGGUGAGGUAACGGCUCACCAAGGCGACGAUGCGUAGCCGACCUGAGAGGGUGAUCGGCCACACUGGGACUGAGACACGGCCCAGACUCCUACGGGAGGCAGCAGUAGGGAAUCUUCCGCAAUGGACGAAAGUCUGACGGAGCAACGCCGCGUGAGUGAUGAAGGUUUUCGGAUCGUAAAGCUCUGUUGUUAGGGAAGAACAAGUGCAAGAGUAACUGCUUGCACCUUGACGGUACCUAACCAGAAAGCCACGGCUAACUACGUGCCAGCAGCCGCGGUAAUACGUAGGUGGCAAGCGUUGUCCGGAAUUAUUGGGCGUAAAGGGCUCGCAGGCGGUUUCUUAAGUCUGAUGUGAAAGCCCCCGGCUCAACCGGGGAGGGUCAUUGGAAACUGGGAAACUUGAGUGCAGAAGAGGAGAGUGGAAUUCCACGUGUAGCGGUGAAAUGCGUAGAGAUGUGGAGGAACACCAGUGGCGAAGGCGACUCUCUGGUCUGUAACUGACGCUGAGGAGCGAAAGCGUGGGGAGCGAACAGGAUU
rnacentral:rRNA from 1 species